UUUACUGUCUCAGUUGAACAACAAUCGUAAAAAGUUCUAAAAUGAAAUUUCUCAACGCAGUCGCUGUCGCCAUUUUUGUUCUGAUUGCCGUCGCUGAACCGGACCCAAGAGUAGUACAUCGGUAUGGAAAGUAAAAUUUAACAACAUUUUACGGUCAUCCCAGAAUCGCAACAGAUCAUCAGGACUUCAGGUAAAACUACCAACGGAUGUUGCCUCGUGAAGACUUGUGUAACGUGAAUAGUAAUUUUUCAACAAAGUGAAUUAAACAUGAAAAAUUGAUCUGAGUUGUUUCUAAGUUUCUGUUAAAUAAAUUCAUGGAUCGAUAGAAAAA